UCUCCUAAGGCUAAAUACUCUCUAGUGACCGAUAGUGAACCAGUACCGUGAGGGAAAGGUGAAAAGCACCCCGGAAGGGGAGUGAAAUAGAACCUGAAACCGUGUGCUUACAAGUAGUCAGAGCCCGUUAAUGGGUGAUGGCGUGCCUUUUGUAGAAUGAACCGGCGAGUUACGAUUUGAUGCAAGGUUAAGCAGUAAAUGUGGAGCCGUAGCGAAAGCGAGUCUGAAUAGGGCGUUUAGUAUUUGGUCGUAGACCCGAAACCAGGUGAUCUACCCUUGGUCAGGUUGAAGUUCAGGUAACACUGAAUGGAGGACCGAACCGACUUACGUUGAAAAGUGAGCGGAUGAACUGAGGGUAGCGGAGAAAUUCCAAUCGAACCUGGAGAUAGCUGGUUCUCUCCGAAAUAGCUUUAGGGCUAGCCUCAAGUGAUGAUUAUUGGAGGUAGAGCACUGUUUGGACGAGGGGCCCCUCUCGGGUUACCGAAUUCAGACAAACUCCGAAUGCCAAUUAAUUUAACUUGGGAGUCAGAACAUGGGUGAUAAGGUCCGUGUUCGAAAGGGAAACAGCCCAGACCACCAGCUAAGGUCCCAAAAUAUAUGUUAAGUGGAAAAGGAUGUGGCGUUGCCCAGACAACUAGGAUGUUGGCUUAGAAGCAGCCAUCAUUUAAAGAGUGCGUAAUAGCUCACUAGUCGAGUGACACUGCGCCGAAAAUGUACCGGGGCUAAACAUAUUACCGAAGCUGUGGAUUGUCCUUUGGACAAUGGUAGGAGAGCGUUCUAAGGGCGUUGAAGCAUGAUCGUAAGGACAUGUGGAGCGCUUAGAAGUGAGAAUGCCGGUGUGAGUAGCGAAAGACGGGUGAGAAUCCCGUCCACCGAUUGACUAAGGUUUCCAGAGGAAGGCUCGUCCGCUCUGGGUUAGUCGGGUCCUAAGCUGAGGCCGACAGGCGUAGGCGAUGGAUAACAGGUUGAUAUUCCUGUACCACCUAUAAUCGUUUUAAUCGAUGGGGGGACGCAGUAGGAUAGGCGAAGCGUGCGAUUGGAUUGCACGUCUAAGCAGUAAGGCUGAGUAUUAGGCAAAUCCGGUACUCGUUAAGGCUGAGCUGUGAUGGGGAGAAGACAUUGUGUCUUCGAGUCGUUGAUUUCACACUGCCGAGAAAAGCCUCUAGAUAGAAAAUAGGUGCCCGUACCGCAAACCGACACAGGUAGUCAAGAUGAGAAUUCUAAGGUGAGCGAGCGAACUCUCGUUAAGGAACUCGGCAAAAUGACCCCGUAACUUCGGGAGAAGGGGUGCUCUUUAGGGUUAACGCCCAGAAGAGCCGCAGUGA
rnacentral:rRNA from 1 species